CCAACUGUAAAAUAAAAAUAAUGUCACGGGGUGGUUGAAAGAUGAAUAUUAAUUUUCUUGCUAGUAUUUUUUUGCAUUUCAUGAAACUGCGACUAAUUCCUGUAAUAAUAAUAAUUCCUGUAUUAUUCUGCGUACCAGAAUGACAUCUGUAAAGUUAUAACAAUCCCGUUCCUUUUGUAUGUAGAUGACUUAGUUAUAUACUUAGCUGGUAAUGACCUUGAAUUGUUAAUGAAAGCAAUGACUGAGCAAGCAAAUAUUGUUCAGGAGUGGUAUAGUAUGAAUAACCUAAGUAUUAACUAUUCGAAAACCAAAUUUCAAAUCUUUAGUAAGCCGCGAUGUAAUGUACCUUCUUCUUUCUGUAAACCCAUAGUGUUAAGUAAUGGCGAAUCGAUAGAGAAUUUCGUCUUCAGGGAGGCGUACUUGGCCCCUAUUGACCGUCCCAUCUUAUACGUUUGCACAAAAAUCGAUACACUAUCGAGCAGUUAAACUUUGGAACAAACUACCUAGGGAUUGGGACCCCAACAUGAGUUAUGUUAAAUUUGUACAAUCAUGUCGUGAAUAUAUAAUUAAUAAGCGUUCUGAGGACUAUUAUUAUUAUUUAUGAAAUAUGUGUUAGAACAAUGUAGUUAGAUAUAUGCUUCGUAUAUAGUUAUAGCAUUUUGUGUCAUGGUUUGCAAACCAGUUAUUGUUAACUGAUAUCCAUUUACACGUGAAUAAAAGUUGAAAUGAAAUGAAAUAAAUUUUACUUACACUGA